rnacentral:ribozyme from 1 species
UGUCCAGCAACUCCUAUCCCUACCUCCUCGUGGUACCGGCCGGAAACUAUGAGCAACCUUAGGGAAGAUCGGAUAACCAACCCCGGUGGGAACUUUGGUCAUAGGCUGACAGGGAUAGG